rnacentral:lncRNA from 1 species
ACUUGGCUUGCUGACCUCCAGCAUCCUAUUUCUUGCAGUAGUGAGAAAGGUCUUUGCAUUUGAAAGAACUCUGUGCUUACAUAGAACACAUAUGACAAGGUCCAGCCGCAGUUUAUAAAUCUGUCAGUGCUGCAUAAUAGAGACUGUCUUAUUUCCAUCUGCCAAGACUUGAGCAGGGCUGUGCAUGAAUUGAGGUGUUACUCAAUGUAUUUGGAAAACUUUAAACUGAAAUAUUGAAAUGGAAUUUAGCAAAAUUUGAACAGCUGAGCAGGAUCACAGCUUUAGCCUUGGGUGUCUGUGUGUUCUGUGCAAGUCCCAGUUUUGCUGCUGGUUCAUUUGAACAUCCAUUCUCCAAAUCAAGCUCACAAAGUUUGACGCAACAAUCAAACUAACAGCUCAAUGAACAACUGUAAGUAUUUAAAAAAAUCAAAACUUGAGAAGAAGUUCCUUCCCUGAUAUCUUCCCAUUAAAGGUCUGGAUCAACAACUGACAUCUGCUACCUUUCUAUAAAUCUAGAGAUGAUACCUGUAUUCCAGCAGAGCAGUUCAGGAUUUAUACCAACUUCAAUGAGAGCUAAUUUGGCCUUCUAAAUAUGUAAUUGUUCUUAGCCAAAAAAAACCAAACAAAAAACUAUUAAUCCCUCAGAGCAGCCAGUGAUUGUGGCAUUUUAACAGUAACAGCCAGUAUGAUGGAGUGUUUUCAGUGCUUA